UACGUAGGGUGCAAGCGUUAAUCGGAAUUACUGGGCGUAAAGCGUGCGCAGGCGGUUUUGUAAGUCUGUCGUGGAAUCCCCGGGCUCAACCUGGGAAUUGCGAUGGAGACUGCAAGGCUAGAAUCUGGCAGAGGGGGGUAGAAUUCCACGUGUAGCAGUGAAAUGCGUAGAGAUGCGGAGGAACACCGAUGGCGAAGGCAGCCCCCUGGGUCAAGAUUGACGCUCAUGCACGAAAGCGUGGGGAGCAAACAGG
rnacentral:rRNA from 1 species